rnacentral:rRNA from 1 species
GACGAACGCUGGCGGCGUGCCUAAUACAUGCAAGUAGAACGCUGAAGAGAGGAGCUUGCUCUUCUUGGAUGAGUUGCGAACGGGUGAGUAACGCGUAGGUAACCUGCCUUGUAGCGGGGGAUAACUAUUGGAAACGAUAGCUAAUACCGCAUAACAAUGGAUGACACAUGUCAUUUAUUUGAAAGGGGCAAUUGCUCCACUACAAGAUGGACCUGCGUUGUAUUAGCUAGUAGGUGAGGUAAUGGCUCACCUAGGCGACGAUACAUAGCCGACCUGAGAGGGUGAUCGGCCACACUGGGACUGAGACACGGCCCAGACUCCUACGGGAGGCAGCAGUAGGGAAUCUUCGGCAAUGGGGGCAACCCUGACCGAGCAACGCCGCGUGAGUGAAGAAGGUUUUCGGAUCGUAAAGCUCUGUUGUAAGUCAAGAACGGGUGUGAGAGUGGAAAGUUCACACUGUGACGGUAGCUUACCAGAAAGGGACGGCUAACUACGUGCCAGCAGCCGCGGUAAUACGUAGGUCCCGAGCGUUGUCCGGAUUUAUUGGGCGUAAAGCGAGCGCAGGCGGUUUGAUAAGUCUGAAGUUAAAGGCUGUGGCUCAACCAUAGUUCGCUUUGGAAACUGUCAAACUUGAGUGCAGAAAGGGAGAGUGGAAUUCCAUGUGUAGCGGUGAAAUGCGUAGAUAUAUGGAGGAACACCGGUGGCGAAAGCGGCUCUCUGGUCUGUAACUGACGCUGAGGCUCGAAAGCGUGGGGAGCGAACAGGAUUAGAUACCCUGGUAGUCCACGCCGUAAACGAUGAGUGCUAGGUGUUGGAUCCUUUCCGGGAUUCAGUGCCGCAGCUAACGCAUUAAGCACUCCGCCUGGGGAGUACGACCGCAAGGUUGAAACUCAAAGGAAUUGACGGGGGCCCGCACAAGCGGUGGAGCAUGUGGUUUAAUUCGAAGCAACGCGAAGAACCUUACCAGGUCUUGACAUCCCGAUGCUAUUUCUAGAGAUAGAAAGUUACUUCGGUACAUCGGUGACAGGUGGUGCAUGGUUGUCGUCAGCUCGUGUCGUGAGAUGUUGGGUUAAGUCCCGCAACGAGCGCAACCCCUAUUGUUAGUUGCCAUCGUUCAGUUGGGCACCCUAGCGAGACUGCCGGUAAUAAACCGGAGGAAGGUGGGGAUGACGUCAAAUCAUCAUGCCCCUUAUGACCUGGGCUACACACGUGCUACAAUGGUUGGUACAACGAGUUGCGAGUCGGUGACGGCGAGCUAAUCUCUUAAAGCCAAUCUCAGUUCGGAUUGUAGGCUGCAACUCGCCUACAUGAAGUCGGAAUCGCUAGUAAUCGCGGAUCAGCACGCCGCGGUGAAUAAGUUCCCGGGCCU